UACGGAGGGGGCUAGCGUUGUUCGGAAUUACUGGGCGUAAAGGGCAGGUAGGUGGUCUCAUUUGUCAGGGGUGAAAGCCUUGGGCUUAACCCAAGAAGUGCCCUUGAAACGGUGAGACUGGAGUCUUGGAGAGGGUCGUGGAAUUCCCGGUGUAGCGGUGAAAUGCGUAGAGAUCGGGAGGAACACCAGAGGCGAAGGCGGCGACCUGGACAAGCACUGACACUCAACUGCGAAAGCGUGGGUAGCAAACAGG
rnacentral:rRNA from 1 species